GAAUCCAAUGCAGGCUGAUUUCUGGCAUACAUCACAGUCCAGUCUGAUUUUCUGCAGAUUACUUUCUACAAGAUGAUUUGGGCACCUCAGUUUACCACCUCCCAGCGGACCGACGGGUGCGGUGAAAAUAAGAAACUCCUGGACACGAACCAUACAGACCAAGUUCAUCACUCCUGUGAGGGAGAACCUUAAAUUCCCAUAAGAAAAACUGAAUGUGCAGGAAGCGUAUCUCAUUCAGUUCACAAACCAUGAUGGGUUCUGUGUUCACCCUGGCUAACUAUCUACUUCUA
rnacentral:lncRNA from 1 species